UAUCCUACGGGAGGCAGCAGUUAAGAAUCUUGUCAAUGGGGAAAGCCUGAAGCAGCGACGCCGCGUGAACGAUGAAGGUCUUCGGAUUGUAAAGUUCAGUAAGUAGGGACGAAAAAAAUGACGGUACCUACCUAAAGCACCGGCUAACUACGUGCCAGCAGCCGCGGUAAACGUAUGUGCAAGCGUUGUUCGGAAUCAUGGGGUAAAGGGUGUGUAGGCGGAUUAACAAGUCAGUGUGAGACCUUCGGGCUCAACUGAAGCCUGCACUGAACUGUAAUCUGGAAUUGGGAGAGGCAAGGGAAUUUCGUGAGCGGUGAAAUGGUAGUAUCGAAGAACACCGAUGGCGAAGGCAACCUGGCUAAGAUUGAGUGAAACAGAAAGCGUGGGUAGUGAACGGGAUUAAUACCCCGGUGAUCCACGCCCUAAACGUUGUCUCCAGUUGUUAAGGUAUAACUCCUUAGUAACGAACCUAACGGAUUAAGUAGCCGCCUGGGAUACCUGCAAGAGUGAAACUCAAAUGAUGAGG
rnacentral:rRNA from 1 species